UGUUAAUUUUGUUAAUCAUUUAAAGAAACAAAGUCGAGAAAUUCGAUACUUAUAAUGCGUAAAUUUAUAGUAAGAAAUGUGAUUUAAUAUUGAGAUUAAAUGAUGUUGAUUUAAUUUUAUUAUUUAACCCCCCCCACUCUCCGUCGUUAAACACGUAUAAAUAAGCUAGUGCGGAAUAGCCGGUAAAUUUUUCCACUCUAAAUUGUAUCUUUGUUGUCGUUUGUAAUUAUUUUUUUUAUUUAUGUGACAUAUUGAGAUAUUGACUUUUCCUAUUUUUUUGAUAAAUACUGUAUGUGAAGUUUAAAAUUUCUUUUGCUGCUAAGAAACUUUUCCGAGGAAGAACUAUAUUUUUUUGCGACCAAUUUAAGACUUACACGAGAGUUGGUGGAAACAAGAAAGGUAUUUUUACAAGAGAUCGACAACCAAAAAUGUCAGCCCAUUUCGUCAGGAAAAGGUAUCAUAGUUUAAGUGCAGAAAUAGAUAAAACUAAAAUGCCUGCUGAUCUCGAAAAUUAUGUUGCAGUUAAUUAUUGUAACUACAAAGAACUUUAGGAUUUUUAAAGAUAUAAAAUUGGAUCUGUUAUUGGAUUAUCAAAAUAAAAUUCUUUUCUAUUACAAUUUAAUAAAUUUCAACGUAUAAAACUGAUAUUUUAAUGUAAAGAAUGUUGUUUAUCUUUCUGUAGCGAUUAUGAUAUUACUCAGGACCUUCUACAAAGCGUUUGUUUUUCUUUUGUGUGGAAAUAUAACAUGUAUUACAUAAAGAAAUAUUAAACGUAUGAGUUGUGAGUAAGGUGUAAUGUUGAAUAAUAAAAAAACCGAAUUAGCUUUCAA